rnacentral:rRNA from 1 species
CAGCCGCCGCGGUAAUACGUAGGUGGCGAGCGUUAUCCGGACUUACUGGGCGUAAAGGGUGUGUAGGUGGCUGCCAUAGUCGGGCGUGAAAUCCCGGGGCUUAACCUCGGGUUUGCGUUCGAUACUUGGUGGCUGGAGUGCGGGAGAGGGAAGUGGAAUUCCCGGUGUAGCGGUGAAAUGCGUAGAUAUCGGGAGGAACGCCGGUGGCGAAGGCGGCUUCCUGGCCCGUUACUGACGCUGAGGCACGAAAGCCAGGGGAGCGAACCGGAUUAGAUACCCGGGUAGUCCUGGCUGUAAACCAUGGGCGCUAGGUGUGGGUGGUGGUGAGCCAUCGGUGCCGAAGCUAACGCGUUAAGCGCCCCGCCUGGGGAGUACGGUCGCAAGGCUGAAACUUAAAGGAAUUGGCGGG